rnacentral:RNase_P_RNA from 1 species
GCGGAUGGCCGGAUGACCGCGGCGGGGUAACCUGUCGAGGAAAGUCCGGACUCCAUGAAGGCACGGUGCCGGGUAACGCCCGGCGGGGGCAACCCCAGGGAAAGCGCAACAGAGAACAGACCGCCCGCGCAUCCGCGCAGGUAAGGGUGAAACGGUGGGGUAAGAGCCCACCGCGGGACUGGCAACAGGACCGGCAUGGCAAGCCCCACCGGGAGCAACGCCGAAUAGGGACCGCGCGCCGCAAGGCAGGGCUGCUUUCGCCCCAGCAGGUCCGGGUUGGCAGCUAGAUCCCGUCAGCAAUGGCGGGACCAGAGGAAUGGUCAUCGAAGGGGGCGACCCCGGAACAAAAUCCGGCUUACAGGCCAUCCGCGUGU